AGGGUUAUAGUUAAAAAUAACAUUUAAAUUGCAUUUAAAAAGUAUUGAAUAAAUCAAUUAACCUUA
rnacentral:tRNA from 1 species